rnacentral:ncRNA from 1 species
GAGAUAAGAUUUUUGGGUUGACAUACAAGCCCCUCUAAGUAGAAAUACUUAGUAGCAAAUACAUUUAAUUGCUGGAACCUCUCGUUAGGCCUAGUUUACAAUACUACAUAGUGAUAUAGUAGCGACCUGUAAAAAUAACUAGGAUAGAGACAAUCAGCAGCGAAGACUCUAGAAGCUAUAGUGACUUGGUCACAGAUAGAGUACCGUUCAACGACUAUUCCUUAUGGAAGUAGAACCAAGUGGUUCGAAACAGUGUAAACCUUUAACAGAGGUUAUGAUAUAGUCUAGGCUUCUAUGGAGACAUAGAG